AUUGAACGCUGGCGGCGUGGAUUAGGCAUGCAAGUCGUACGGAAAGGCCCCGCAAGGGGUACUCGAGCGGCGAAAGGGAUAGUAAUGCGUAGAUCACCUACCCCUGGGACCCGGAUAGCUGCGGGAAACUGCAAUUAAUACGGGAUGACGUCUGCGGACCAAAGGUGUAAUUCCGCCCGGGGAUGGGUCUGCGUCCUAUUAGCUUGUUGGUGAGGUAACGGCUCACCAAGGCGACGAUGGGUAGCGGGUGUGAGAGCACGACCCGCAUCACUGGGACUGAGACACUGCCCAGACACCUACGGGUGGCUGCAGUCGAGGAUCUUCGGCAAUGGGCGAAAGCCUGACCGAGCGACGCCGCGUGUGGGAUGAAGGCCCUCGGGUUGUAAACCACUGUCGGAGGGGAGGAAAUGCUGGGGGGAUCACCCCUCAGCUUGACCUAUCCUCGAAGGAAGGACGGGCUAAGUUCGUGCCAGCCGCCGCGGUAA
rnacentral:rRNA from 1 species